GCGGGAUGUGGGCGAGGCCUCGGGCUCUGGCGGAGCGCGAUCCUGGAACGGAGGUUGGAAGACUCCAAGCUAGUUAAGGUCUCUGCGUUUCCGCUUGGUGGCGUCUCCCCUGCCCUGCGUGCCCCGUUAAUAGCAGUAGGCUGGAGCUGCGUCGUCUGAGAAGGGUCCUGUAGCCAAAGAAAUGGGCAGGGCAGACCUCUGGCCGACUUGAGCCCCAGUGGUGGGCCUUCCCGCGGGGCCGCUCAGUCGGGUGACUGUGGAAGAGGGGGACUUGAACGCAGGGACUUGGGAAUGGACAGGAGCCUGCCUGUGGACCAACUCGUGGGAGAGUGGUGCAGAUGGAAAGGCAAAUACGAAUUCGACUUAGUGAUUUAAUUUCCCCAUUGUCUCAUAUGGGAAAAUAAGGGAAGGAAAAUUCCCAUCACAUCUCCCCUUUCAGGAUUCAUUCUCUCUCCUUUUCAAGUUUAUGCAAGUCUUUUUAAUGGCUGAAUAACCUUAUGGCUACUCUUAAGGAAGGAAUAUUACCUAGGAGCCAUCUCUUAAAAAGUGUUCUGGAGCUCUUGGGUAAAGGCCCAUGGCUUGCGGGUGGUAGGGACAGGUAUUUCCCAAAAGACCUGGCAACCCACCCUUCUCAUUAUGCCAAUCAAAGAGACCAGCAAUGAUGAAGGGCAUGAAAGGAGUUUUAAUCAGCAUGGCCACGCUGUGAAGAACAGGUAUAGGGGUACAACCAAAGAGUUGUCUUCAAGAGACGUCAGAAACUUUGAGGUUUUAUAGAAAAGAGGAAAAGGGCUCUGGAUGUGGCUCAAGCGGUAGCGCUCGCCUGGCAUGCUUGCAGCCCGGGUUCGAUCCUCAGCACCACAUACAAACAAAGAUGUUGUGUCCGCUGAAAACUAAAAAAUAAAUAUUAAAAGAAAAAAUAA
rnacentral:lncRNA from 1 species